AACGAACGCUGGCGGCAGGCCUAACACAUGCAAGUCGAACGCUCGUAGCAAUACGGGAGUGGCAGACGGGUGAGUAACACGUGGGAACCUUCCCUAUGGUUCGGAAUAGCUCAGGGGAAACUUGGGGUAAUACCGGAUAAACCCUUCGGGGGGAAAGAUUUAUCGCCAUCGGAUGGGCCCGCGUCGGAUUAGCUAGUUGGUGAGGUAACGGCUCACUAAGGCAACGAUCCGUAGCUGGUCUGAGAGGAUGAUCAGCCACACUGGGACUGAGACACGGCCCAGACUCCUACGGGAGGCAGCAGUGGGGAAUAUUGGACAAUGGGCGCAAGCCUGAUCCAGCCAUGCCGCGUGAGUGACGAAGGUCUUCGGAUUGUAAAACUCUUUGGCGGGACGAUAAUGACGGUACCCGCAGAAUAAGCCCCGGCUAACUUCGUGCCAGCAGCCGCCGUAAG
rnacentral:rRNA from 1 species